GACGAACCGUACGAGCGUUAUUCGGAAUUACUGGGCUUAAAGGGUGCGUAGGCUGUGCGGAAAGUUGGGCGUGAAAUACCUCAGCUUAACUGAGGAACUGCGUUCAAAACUACCGUGCUCGAGGGAGACAGAGGUAAGCGGAACUGAGGGUGGAGCGGUGAAAUGCGUUGAUAUCCUCAGGAACACCGGUGGCGAAAGCGGCUUACUGGGUCUCUUCUGACGCUGAGGAACGAAAGCUAGGGUAGCGAACGGG
rnacentral:rRNA from 1 species